UACGUAGGGGGCUAGCGUUGUCCGGAAUCAUUGGGCGUAAAGCGCGUGUAGGCGGUCCGGUAAGUCCGCUGUGAAAGUCGGGGGCUCAACCCUCGGAUGCCGGUGGAUACUGUCGGGCUUGAGUACGGAAGAGGCGAGUGGAAUUCCUGGUGUAGCGGUGAAAUGCGCAGAUAUCAGGAGGAACACCAAUUGCGGAGGCAGCUCGCUGGGACGUACUGACGCUGAGUACGCGAAAGCUGGGGAGCGAACGGG
rnacentral:rRNA from 1 species